CUGUAUAGCCCUUAGUAGCUUUUGGGUGGCACUUGAACAUUAGGAAAGUAAAACACCAGGGAACAGAACUUGAAAGCAGGAACUCAAUCAGAGUUGAGUUCAUUAUCCUUAGGAUGAUGUGUUCCAAGACAAUAUUCUGGAGAAUAAACUGCAGUUUACCUUAAGGAAACUUUUUAUUGCUGUUCUAGUGAAGUGGGCCAAGAGAGACUUGGAUUUCCUUGAAGUCAAUAUCUUACUUCUAUCAAAAGCAACUCUUUUUAUGACUCAUCAACUUUUCAUAAAGGUGAAGACCAGGACUGAUAAGCAGCCUAAUGCCUGUGACUAUAUGCCAUCUAAGAACGUACUGGUCUGUAAGCACAAAUGAACAUUCUCUUAACCUCAGGACAUGAGCGGCAGUGUGAGAAGAGCUCAGAGGGAUGCCUGCAGCAUUCAACCAUGCACAAAGAAGGAGGACAACCUCUCCUGACAGCAUCUCCUAUCUGUGAGUACGACAUGCUGAAGGACCCAUUAGUGACGGAAUGCUUCACCAAGACAA